rnacentral:rRNA from 1 species
GUGGGGAAUCUUGCGCAAUGGGCGAAAGCCUGACGCAGCGACGCCGCGUGGGGGAUGAAGCCUUUCGGGGUGUAAACCCCUUUCGACCCGGACGAAUGGCCCGCAAGGGACGUGACGGUACGGGUAUAAGAAGCCCCGGCUAACUACGUGCCAGCAGCCGCGGUAAGACGUAGGGGGCCAGCGUUGCUCGGAAUAACUGGGCGUAAAGGGUCCGUAGGCGGUGUGGCAAGUCAGAAGUGAAAUCUCCCGGCUCAACCAGGAGGCUGCUUCUGAAACUGCCAUGCUGGAGUGCGGGAGAGGCGAGUGGAAUUGCAGGUGUAGCGGUGAAAUGCGUAGAUAUCUGCAGGAACACCAGAGGCGAAAGCGGCUCGCUGGACCGCAACUGACGCUGAGGGACGAAAGCUAGGGGAGCAAACAGGAUUAGAAACCCUAGUAGUCC